rnacentral:rRNA from 1 species
AGUCGAGGGGUAGCAGGAUCUAGCAAUAGAUUGCUGACGACCGGCGCACGGGUGAGUAACACGUAUCCAACCUGCCGAUAACUCGGGGAUAGCCUUUCGAAAGAAAGAUUAAUACCCGAUAGUAUAAUAAAACCGCAUGGUUUUUUUAUUAAAGAAUUUCGGUUAUCGAUGGGGAUGCGUUCCAUUAGGCAGUUGGUGAGGUAACGGCUCACCAAACCUUCGAUGGAUAGGGGUUCUGAGAGGAAGGUCCCCCACAUUGGAACUGAGACACGGUCCAAACUCCUACGGGAGGCAGCAGUGAGGAAUAUUGGUCAAUGGGCGCAGGCCUGAACCAGCCAAGUAGCGUGAAGGAUGACUGCCCCUAUGGGUUGUAAACUUCUUUUAUAUGGGAAUAAAGUUUUCCACGUGUGGAAUUUUGUAUGUACCAUAUGAAUAAGGAUCGGCUAACUCCGUGCCAGCAGCCGCGGUAAUACGGAGGAUCCGAGCGUUAUCCGGAUUUAUUGGGUUUAAAGGGAGCGUAGGUGGACAGUUAAGUCAGUUGUGAAAGUUUGCGGCUCAACCGUAAAAUUGCAGUUGAUACUGGCUGUCUUGAGUACAGUAGAGGUGGGCGGAAUUCGUGGUGUAGCGGUGAAAUGCUUAGAUAUCACGAAGAACUCCGAUUGCGAAGGCAGCUCACUGGACUGCAACUGACACUGAUGCUCGAAAGUGUGGGUAU